rnacentral:lncRNA from 1 species
UUUGAUUUUGGUAUGGUGGUCACUGAAUCUUAUUUUGUUUUGUUGCGUGAUGAUUUUCAUUGCCUCUUUUGAUUCUUGUUUUGAUCCCUAACUUUUUGCUGGACCAUUUUUUGAAGCUUUUUAGUCCACUGAGAUUGCCCAUAUUUUUUACCUAAGUUGCCACUUUGGGUGUUUGACUUAGCGGGCUUUUUCUUUGAUGAUUUAUUUUGUAGAGGAUGUGACUUGCAAGUAAUUGGGCAUUGAAAAAUAAGCAACAUAACUUUUGGAUUUUGCAUGGUUCAU